CGCUGGCGGCGUGCCUAAUACAUGCAAGUCGAACGCGCAGCGAAAGGUGCUUGCACCUUUCAAGCGAGUGGCGAACGGGUGAGUAACACGUGGAUAACCUGCCUCAAGGCUGGGGAUAACAUUUGGAAACAGAUGCUAAUACCGAAUAAAACUUAGUAUCGCAUGAUACAAAGUUGAAAGGCGCUACGGCGUCACCUAGAGAUGGGUCCGCGGUGCAUUAGUUAGUUGGUGGGGUAAAGGCCUACCAAGACAAUGAUGCAUAGCCGAGUUGAGAGACUGAUCGGCCACAUUGGGACUGAGACACGGCCCAAACUCCUACGGGAGGCUGCAGUAGGGAAUCUUCCACAAUGGGCGAAAGCCUGAUGGAGCAACGCCGCGUGUGUGAUGAAGGCUUUAGGGUCGUAAAGCACUGUUGUAUGGGAAGAAAUGCUAGAAUAGGGAAUGAUUCUAGUUCGACGGUACCAUACCAGAAAGGGACGGCUAAAUACGUGCCAGCAGCCGCGGUAAUACGUAUGUCCCGAGCGUUAUCCGGAUUUAUUGGGCGUAAAGCGAGCGCAGACGGUUGAUUAAGUCUGAUGUGAAAGCCCGGAGCUCAACUCCGGAAUGGCAUUGGAAACUGGUUAACUUGAGUGUUGUAGAGGUAAGUGGAACUCCAUGUGUAGCGGUGGAAUGCGUAGAUAUAUGGAAGAACACCAGUGGCGAAGGCGGCUUACUGGACAACAACUGACGUUGAGGCUCGAAAGUGUGGGUAGCAAACAGGAUUAGAUACCCUGGUAGUCCACACCGUAAACGAUGAAUACUAGGUGUUAGGAGGUUUCCGCCUCUUAGUGCCGAAGCUAACGCAUUAAGUA
rnacentral:rRNA from 1 species